AAGAAAGAGUCUGGACAAAAACGGCCUCCGUGAGAGUUCAAGGAGAAAACCACUGCUGACCAAAAAGAACACAAAGGCUCGUCUCACAUUUACCAAAAGACUUUUGGGAAAAUAUUCUGUGGACUGAUGAGACAAAGGUUUAACUUUUAGGAAGCUUUAAGUCCUGUUACAGUAUGCCUUAAAACUAACACAGUAUUUCAUUAAAAGAACAUUAUAGCAACAGUCAAACACGGUGGUGUUAGUGUAAUGGUCUGGGGCUGUUCUGCUGCCUCAGAUUCACUGGCGUAACUGAUUGAACCGUGAAUUCUGCUCUACCAGAAAAUCCUGAAGGAUGAUGUCCGGCCAUCGGUUCAUGCCCUGAAGCUGGAGUCAGUUAUUGCACCUCCUUCAGUCAAGGAUGGCACCACCAGUUCUUGGAUUUUGGGGGCAAUUACUUUUCUACUUAGGCCACGACCUGCCGGAGACUCCGUGGGCUGAAACACUGUGAAUGAAUGUGUCAGCAGUAUGAGCCGUGCUGGCCUCUGAAGCACCUGUCACACAUGCAGACACGUGUUCCAGAGACACCUCCCCCACCACCGUGUGCCAGGAAAAGCUUUGUGUGGCUAGCUGGCUGACAGUUGCCAGGCCAGUGGUCCGGUACAGUCCAGUGCUCCUGGCACUGACGCCUGCCCAUCUGCCUGAGUUGACACGUUCGCUCCCACACCACUUGUCCAGGAGGACAAAAUGUGCUACGUUGUCCUGGCAAAGCUCCCUGAAAUGUCAACCUGGCGUAACAAACCCAUGCCGUCCCCUUGGCCCUUGUAGGCCUGGUAGUGUUGGUGGGGCGCUGCCCUGGAUCAAGCAGGGAGCCAGAAACAUGCCAAGGUAACAACAACUGCUGAUCGACUGCCGGGGCGCUACCAUCUUGUCCAGUGUGGAUCGAGUUUGCUCAGGAUGGCUGUUCUCAUUAUGGGCCCUGAACCUUGUAAAACCUGGCGUUUCCUCGGCUGAAAGAGGGCAGCUGGAAGGAAAGGAGGCAAACCAUUCCUUUAAAAACCAUUAUGAAUAAAACCCAUUUGUGACUUGGCAUCUCCUUUUUUUUUUUUCCUUUACAAGCAAAAGACAAAGGAUGGAGAGGAAUAACACGCGG
ensembl:lncRNA